GUUCAACGGGGCGAUUCUUUGAUUAAACCGCGCCAAUCACAAAACAGAAUUAGUGGUUUUAGUACAGUAAUUUUUGUGAUUGGCGCGGCUUAAUCAAAGAAUCGCCCCGUUGAACCAGAGCC